rnacentral:lncRNA from 1 species
GGGGCACAGCGGCGGCGCAGGCGCGGAGAGGCGCACAGCGCGGCACAGCGAGGCGCCGGCCCAGACUCCACUCCCCAGCUGUGAAAGGAGGAGCUCUACGGUGACUUUGAAGACUUGGAAACAGGGGACGUGCACAAGGGAAAAUCGGGCCCCGAUACUCAGAAUGAAGAUGUAGAGAAACAAGGAAGAAAUUGACCCUGACGAAGAAGAAAGUGCCAAGAAAAAGCAUUUGGAUAAGAAGAGAAAAUUGAAGGAGAUGUUUGAUGUGGAAUAUGAUGAAGGAGAAAGCACAUAUUUUGAUGAUCUUAAAGGAGAAAUGCAGAAACAAGCACAGCUGAAUCAUGCAGAAUUUGAAGAUCAAGAUGAUGAAGCCAGAGUUCAGUAUGAGGGUUUUCGACCUGGGAUGUACGUCUGCGUUGAGAUUGAAAAUGUUCCCUGUGAAUUUGUGUAGAACUUUGACCCCCGUUACCCCAUUAUCCUGGGUGGCUUGGGCAACAGCGAGGGAAAUGUUGGAUACGUGCAGAUGCGUCUGAAGAAACAUCGCUGGUAUAAGAAAAUCCUCAAGUCCCGAGAUCCAAUCAUAUUUUCUGUAGGGUGGAGGAGGUUUCAGACCAUCCCGCUCUGUUAUAUCGAAGACCACAAUGGAAGACAAAGGCUUCUAAAACCCUAUCACUCCACAGGGAACUGGUUUCUUGGCAAUACAGUCUGUCAGUGGCAUAAUGCCUGAUUUUCGGAUAGCUGCCACAGGAGUUGUCCUUGAUCUGGAUAAAUCCAUAAAAAUUGUGAAGAAAUUAAAGCUAACUGGUUUUCCAUAUAAAAUUUUUAAGAACACUUCAUUUAUUAAGGGAAUGUUUAAUUCAGCCUUGGAAGUGGCCAAAUUUGAAGGUGCUGUGAUUCGAACUGUCAGUGGGAUAAGGGGGCAGAUCAAGAAAGCACUCUGAGCUCCAGAAGGAGCUUUCCGGGCCAGCUUUGAGGAUAAGCUGCUGAUGAGCGAUAUUGUCUUCAUGCAAACUUGGUAUCCUGUUUCCAUCCCAGCCUUCUAUAACCCAGUAACAUCUUUGUUGAAACCAGUGGGUGAGAAAGACACCUGGUCAGGAACGCGGACCACGGGCCAACUCAGGCUUGCCCAUGGUGUCAGACUAAAGGCAAACAAGGACUCUCUGUAUAAGGUUCCCUCUCCCAGCCUGUGCUGACUCAGCCAUCUUCCCAUUCUGCAUCUUCUGGAGCAUCAGUCAGACUCACCUGCAUGCUGAGCAGUGGCUUCAGUGUUGGGGACUUCUGGAUAAGGUGGUACCAACAAAAGCCAGGGAACCCUCCCCGGUAUCUCCUGUACUACCACUCAGACUCCAAUAAGGGCCAAGGCUCUGGAGUUCCCAGCCGCUUCUCUGGAUCCAACGAUGCAUCAGCCAAUGCAGGGAUUCUGCGUAUCUCUGGGCUCCAGCCUGAGGAUGAGGCUGACUAUUACUGUGGUACAUGGCACAGCAACUCUAAGACUCACACAGUGCUCCAGACCCAUGAGGAAGUUUCAUUACACAUCAAAGAUGAAUAAUUUCUCUCAUCUUUAGGACAUGCUGAAAACACUCAUUAGUGAUUUUGAACAGUAUUAUUUCCUAAACAUCCUAGUUGGAAUGGUUGAUCCUAAAAGCUACCAUGUGUCAGGCUCACCUGAGUGCAGACUGUGGUCUAAACAAGCUAAAGUUUUAAUUCUUCCAUCUUCAAAUACGGAGCAUAUUUGCUUGUUUUGCUCUUUAGCAAAACACUGCAAAGUCAUUCGCCAGGAUCUCCUGCAGACUGGCAUUCAGUGAUGGAGAACAGACUCCUAGGUGAGAUCCCUGGUCACAGGAUCCAGAUGACUAUGACUGCAAGUCUGGAAAAGAAGAGACAGAACAAAGAUUUACCAGCAUAACCCUCUGAGAAUGUGCCCCAGCCAUCCUGGAGGGAAGAGCUCCCUAUUGACCCAGCACUGCAGAAUCCACAGAGGAAGGACAGCUCUGGCCACCAGGGAGCAGCCACACGACAAGAGAGGACCCGGUGUCCCCACAGGGUCCUGGGCCCAGUCUGUGUUGACGCAGCCGCCCUCAGUGUCUGCGGCCCCAGGACAGAAGGUCACCAUCUCCUGCUCUGGAAGCAGCUCCAACAUUGGGAAUAAUUAUGUAUCCUGGUACCAGCAGCUCCCAGGAACAGCCCCCAAACUCCUCAUUUAUGACAAUAAUAAGCGACCCUCAGGGAUUCCUGACCGAUUCUCUGGCUCCAAGUCUGGCACGUCAGCCACCCUGGGCAUCACCGGACUCCAGACUGGGGACGAGGCCGAUUAUUACUGCGGAACAUGGGAUAGCAGCCUGAGUGCUGGCACAGUGCUCCAGCCCAAUGGGGAACUGAGACAAGAACCCCCUUCUUCCUCCCCCAGGAGGCCUCCCCUGGCUUUCUCUUUCUACAGAAACACCAAGGAGGCAGCCACCAAGGACGAGGGGAGGCCCAGGCAUUAUACCAGGCAGCGGAGCCAGCCAGUCCCCCCAGAUGGUGGAGGGAGGUGGUGGAGGUGUCUGGGACCAGAAAAUAGUGAGGACCCUCUUACUGAAGUGAGGACGGGUGGCAUAAACUGAGGCCCAGAUGGUGGACCAGAUCUCCUGAGCCAUCUACUCAUUUCUUCGUGUGUUCCAGUUUGGGCAAUACACAAACAAGAUGCCACAUGAGAACUAUGGAAACCACUUCCCCCUCCUACAUCCUGUCUCCUGGCCUGUUGGUUUCUCUCAGCUGAAGUGACCAGGAAUGCUUACAUUUAUGUUCCCUCCCAGCCAGGAUCUGUGUGUAGAAACAAGGGGGUCUGUCUGUGUCUGUGUGGGCAACCACAUUAUGUUUUCUUUAGUACCACUACAACCUUACUAUUGACAAACA